rnacentral:rRNA from 1 species
CCUACGGGAGGCAGCAGUGAGGAAUAUUGGUCAAUGGACGAGAGUCUGAACCAGCCAAGUAGCGUGAAGGAUGACUGCCCUAUGGGUUGUAAACUUCUUUUAUAUGGGAAUAAAAUGUUCCACGUGUGGGAUUUUGUAUGUACCAUAUGAAUAAGGAUCGGCUAACUCCGUGCCAGCAGCCGCGGUAAUACGGAGGAUCCGAGCGUUAUCCGGAUUUAUUGGGUUUAAAGGGAGCGUAGGUGGUUUGUUAAGUCAGUUGUGAAAGUUUGCGGCUCAACCGUAAAAUUGCAGUUGAAACUGGCAGUCUUGAGUACAGUAGAGGUGGGCGGAAUUCGUGGUGUAGCGGUGAAAUGCUUAGAUAUCACGAAGAACUCCGAUUGCGAAGGCAGUUCACUGGACUGCAACUGACACUGAGGCUCGAAAGUGUGGGUAUCAAACAGGAUUAGAUACCCGUGUAGUC